GAAUAAUGUGAUUCUAUUUAGUGGGGGGAGAGGGGGGGGACUCUUUAUUCGUUUCUUAUACUGGUUUGCUUGGCCUUGAUUAUAUGAUACAAAGGGAUGGUUUAGGUUCUUUCUUUAUUGGUCAUAGUUUGUGAUAAAUCUGCAUGAUUGAAUGGUUAAGGCAUUAAGGAAACUUCCUUAACCAUUGACACAUGACGAUAGACCUGAAACCGAGUAUGUAUUAGCUUAAAAAUCAAUUUUAUUAUCAAUAGAGCAAAAAGAUGAGGAAAAGAUUUGGAUACAUAAGCUUGUUUGUUUGUUUGUUUUUAUUGUUUUUUUUUUUUUUUUAGCGCAAAUGUGCUACCAUGGAACUGCUAAGAUUAAAGUUCUGUGAUGGCUGCUUUACAGCUUUGUUACUUCUAAUUAAGAUGAAGUUUCUUUGUACAGAAAUGCUGGCAAAAAUCUGCACAUAUUUUUUUUAAUUAGAUUGCAUCUUCCUUUCCUGAGACCAAAUUUUAUGAUUUGGGCGUUGCUUAAGCAUUUUGAGAUUAUUUAUUUUCAGAAGCCCUUGUAAAUUUCCUUGUCUCUUCUCUCAUUGCUUCCACUAUGUUGCACUCAUUGUUCAAGCUUCUCAGGAUAUUUUUUGGUUAAUUUUACAGGCAUUGAGACAAAAAAACGAAGCUCUGUAUAAGGAAGUGGAGCAACUUAAGCACAAACUCGUAGAAAUUGAGAAGCUAGCAAAGGGACAAGGUAUAGCUGGAUACUUGCUAGCCUGAUCAACAAGAAAAGCAGCUGCUGAUUGCUCAAUUGCCUUUCCAUUUGGAGGAGAAAAGUUUUGGUUACCCAGACCAUCCGCCCCGUGAAUAGUUCUGUGCUUCAGGAAGACGAGUUUCAUCGGCUAGCGGAUUCCACCAUACAUCAUCUGCUCGAGAAACUCGAGGAUUUUUCAAGAUCUACACCGUACACAAAUGAGGAGAUAAACGAGGUUUGAGAUAUUUGGGCAGACUAUUUUGUAUGCAAUGUUGAACUUUAGAUCUACACUUACAAAACUCCAUUUACUUGUUAGACUCUUGUUCUAUUUGUUAGGAUUGACAUGAAUGUAUGUAUUUUGUUUACCAACAAUUUGGGUUGGUGUUGGUGAUUGUGUUGAAUGAUGACUAUAAUGUCAAUGGAAUUGAGUUGUAAAUUUAUUGGACAGGUUUUUGAUAUGAUGCCGUCAUUCCCAAUUUUAUGGGUAGGCCAAAUUACAAAGGAAACUCUGCCAAAAUUUAUAUUUGAAUUCUUUA